AAUAGAUACCCUGGUAGUCCACCCCGUAAACGUUGGGAACUAGUUGUGGGGUCCUUUCCACGGAUUCCGUGACGCAGCUAACGCAUUAAGUUCCCCGCCUGGGGAGUACGGCCGCAAGGCUAAAACUCAAAGGAAUUGACGGGGACCCGCACAAGCGGCGGAGCAUGCGGAUUAAUUCGAUGCAACGCGAAGAACCUUACCAAGGCUUGACAUACACCGGAAACGGCCAGAGAUGGUCGCCCCGCAAGGUCGGUGUACAGGUGGUGCAUGGUUGUCGUCAGCUCGUGUCGUGAGAUGUUGGGUUAAGUCCCGCAACGAGCGCAACCCUGUCGCAUGUUGCCAGCAUUCAGUUGGGGUACUCAUGCGAGACUGCCGGUGACAAACCGGAGGAAGGUGGGGAUGACGUCAAGUCAUCAUGCCCCUUAUGUCCAGGGCUACACACGUGCUACAUUGGCCGGUACGAAAGGGCUGCGAUACCGCGAGGUGGAGCGAAUCCCAUAAGCCGGUCUCGGUUCGGAUUGGAGGCUGAACUCGCCUCC
rnacentral:rRNA from 1 species